rnacentral:rRNA from 1 species
AGCGAACGCUGGCGGCGUGCCUAACACAUGCAAGUCGAGCGAAUCGUUUGGGGAAACUCGAACGGUUAGCGGCGGACGGGUGAGUAACACGUGGGUAACCCACCUGGGCGACUGGGAUAACGGCUCGAAAGGGCCGCUAAUACCGGAUACGCUCCCCGGGGCAUAAGUCCUGGGGAGGAAAGGUCGCGCAAGCAGCCACUCCCAGACGGGCCCGCGGCCCAUUAGCUAGUUGGCGGGGUAAUGGCCCACCAAGGCAAUGAUGGGUAGCCGGUCUGGGGGGAUGACCGGCCACACGGGGACUGAGACACGGCCCCGACUCCGACGGGAGGCAGCAGUGGGGAAUCUUCCGCAAUGGGCGAAAGCCUGACCGAGCAACGCCGCGUGAGCGAGGAAGGCCUUCGGGUCGUAAAGCUCUGUUGUCAGGGAAGAACAAGUACGAGAGUAACUGCUCGUACCUUGACGGUACCUGACCAGAAAGCCACGGCUAACUACGUGCCAGCCGCCGCUGUAAUAC